AGCCAAGUGGUAAGGCGUGGGACUGCAACUCCCUGAUCAUCGGUUCGAAUCCGUUAGUCG
rnacentral:tRNA from 1 species